UUUAAAGUCUAAUCUGCCCCCUGAAAUUAUUUUAAAGGGCUGCGGUAUUUUAACCGUACAAAGGUAGCAUAAUAAUUAGGUUUUUAAUUGAAAUCUAGAAUGAAUGAUUGGACGAAAUAUAAGCUGUUUUAAAAUAAUUAAUUAAAACUUAAUUUUUUAGUUAAAAAGCUAAAAUUUUAUUAAAAGACGAGAAGACCCUAUAAAUCUUUAUAAUAAAUUUAUUUUUAUAGGUUAUUUUAUUUAAAUUAAUUAUUUUAAUAAGUAAAUUAUUUUAUUGGGGUGAUACAAAAAUUUAACUAACUUUUUUUGAUUUGUUAACUUAAAUUAAAGAUUUUAAAAUUAUGAUCUAUUAUUAAUAAUUCAAAGAAUAAGAUACUUUAGGGAUAACAGCGUAAUUUUAAUUUUAAGUUCUUAUUAAAAUUAAAGAUUGCGACCUCGAUGUUGGAUUAAAAUUUAAUUUAAAUGCAAAGGUUUAAAAAUUAAGUCUGUUCGACUUUU
rnacentral:rRNA from 1 species